rnacentral:rRNA from 1 species
CGGGUUGUAAAGCACUUUCAGUCGUGAGGAAGGUAGUGUAGUUAAUAGCUGCAUUAUUUGACGUUAGCGACAGAAGAAAGCACCGGCUAACUCCGUGCCAGCAGCCGCGGUAAUACGGAGGGUGCGAGCGUUAAUCGGAAUUACUGGGCGUAAAGCGCAUGCAGGUGGUUUGUUAAGUCAGAUGUGAAAGACCCGGGGCGUCAACCUCGGAAUUGCAUUUGUAAACUAGGCAGACUAGAGUACUGUAGAGGGGGGUAGGAAUUUCAGGUGUAGCGGUGAAAAUGCGUAGAGAUCUGAGGGAAUACCGGUGGCGAAGGCGGCCCCCUCGGACAGAUACUGACACUCAGAUGCGAAAGCGUGGGGAGCAAACAGGAUUAGAUACCCUGGUAG